CAUGAGCACGAUUCUUAUCGUAGUAAUGGAGCGCACACGCGAGACGGUCUAGAGACCGUCCGGCGAAAGCCACGUGUGCGCUGAGGGCCCCUUCGAGGGCCCUUUUUUAUUGCCCGAA
rnacentral:sRNA from 1 species